GCCGUAGCUCAGGGAUAGAGCAUCUGUUUAGCAUGCAGAAGGUCCUCAGUUCAAUUUUCAGCAUCUCCA
rnacentral:tRNA from 1 species